UACGAAGGGGGCUAGCGUUGCUCGGAAUUACUGGGCGUAAAGCGCACGUAGGCGGUCUUUUAAGUCAGGGGUGAAAUCCUGGAGCUCAACUCCAGAACUGCCUUCGAUACUGGAAGACUCGAGUCCGGGAGAGGUGAGUGGAACUGCGAGUGUAGAGGUGAAAUUCGUAGAUAUUCGCAAGAACACCAGUGGCGAAGGCGGCUCACUGGCCCGGAACUGACGCUGAGAUGCGAAGCGUGGGGAGCAAACAGG
rnacentral:rRNA from 1 species